UACAGAGGGGGCAAGCGUUGUUCGGAAUUACUGGGCGUAAAGGGCGCGUAGGCGGCACCUACAGUCAGGCGUGAAAUUCCUGGGCUCAACCUGGGGGCUGCGCUUGAUACGUGGGAGCUAGAGGACGGAAGAGGCUCGUGGAAUUCCCAGUGUAGAGGUGAAAUUCGUAGAUAUUGGGAAGAACACCGGUGGCGAAGGCGGCGAGCUGGUCCGUAACUGACGCUGAGGCGCGACAGCGUGGGGAGCAAACAGG
rnacentral:rRNA from 1 species